rnacentral:rRNA from 1 species
UACGGGGGGGGUAAGCGUUGUUCGGAAUUACUGGGCGUAAAGGGCUCGUAGGCGGCCAACUAAGUCAUACGUGAAAUCCCUCAGCUUAACUGGGGAACUGCGUGUGAUACUGGAUGGCUUGGAUUUGGGAGAGGGAUGCGGAAUUCCAGGUGUAGCGGUGAAAUGCGUAGAUAUCUGGAGGAACACCGGUGGCGAAGGCGGGUCUCUGGGCAGUAACUGACGCUGAGGAGCGAAAGCGU